rnacentral:rRNA from 1 species
AAACCAGCACCUCAAGUGGUCAGGAGGAUUAUUGGGCCUAAAGCAUCCGUAGCCUGCUUUGUAAGUUUCCGGUUAAAUCCAUUAGCUUAACUGAUGGGCCGCCGGAAAAACUGCAAAGCUAGGGAGUGGGAGAGGUAGACGGUACUCGGUAGGAAGGGGUAAAAUCCUUUGAUCUAUUGAUGACCACCAGUGGCGAAGGCGGUCUACCAGAACACGUUCGACGGUUAGGGAUGAAAGCUGGGGGAGCAAACCGGAUUAGAAACCCCUGUAGUCC